GUGCUCGCUUUGGCAGCACAUAUACUAAAAUUGAAACGAUACAGAGAAGAUUAGCAUGGGCCCUGUACAAGGAUGACAUGCAAAUUCAUGAAGCGUUCCAUAUUUUU
rnacentral:snRNA from 1 species